rnacentral:rRNA from 1 species
AGAGUUUGAUCCUGGCUCAGAACAAACGCUGGCGGCGUGUCUUAAGCAUGCAAGUUGAGCGGCAAGGCGGGGUAACCCGCCCUAGAGCGGCGGACUGGUGAGUAACGCGUGGGUAAUCUACCUUGGGCAUGGGGAUAGCCACUAGAAAUAGUGGGUAAUACCGAAUACGUUCCACGGGGGAAGGGCUUGUGGAAGAAAGGGUGCUAGGGCACUGGCCUGAGAUGAGCUCGCGUCCCAUUAGCUAGUUGGUGAGGUAAAGGCCCACCAAGGCGAUGAUGGGUAGCCGGCCUGAGAGGGUGUACGGCCACACUGGGACUGAGAUACGGCCCAGACUCCUACGGGAGGCAGCAGCUAAGAAUAUUCCGCAAUGGACGGAAGUCUGACGGAGCGACGCCGCGUGGAUGACGAAGGCCGAAAGGUUGUAAAGUUCUUUUGCUGGGGAAGAAUAAGCCUAGGAGGGAAUGCCUAGGUGAUGACAUGAACCGGCGAAUAAGCCCCGGCCAACUACGUGCCAGCAGCCGCGGUAACACGUAGGGGGCGAGCGUUGUUCGGAAUUACUGGGCGUAAAGGGCAUGUAGGCGGUCUGGUAAGCCUGGCGUGAAAGACUGCAGCUUAACUGCAGGGAUGCGCUGGGAACUGCUGGGCUUGAGUGACGGAGAGGGAGCUGGAAUUCCUGGUGUAGGGGUGAAAUCUGUAGAUAUCAGGAAGAACACCGAUGGCGAAGGCAAGCUCCUGGCCGAUGACUGACGCUGAGGUGCGAAAGUGUGGGGAUCAAACAGGAUUAGAUACCCUGGUAGU